AAAGAAAAAACCGUACGAAAGAAAAACAUCAGCAACACAAAUUCAAUGUUGUCAAUAUAUAUAAUUACCAGAAUAAGAAUCAGUUCAAAGGGACAAAAGAUUAUUAUUAUUAUAAAUAUAUAGUAACUACAGAUCCUAUCAGCAAUUUUCCACAGCUUUCUUGAAUUGUCUGUGUCAUUUCUUUUGCAUGGGAUCACUUAAUUUCCUCAGAAGAAAUUAAUUAAGCUCCCUAAUACAGUUCAAGAAAGCUGUGGAAGACCACAGAGAGGACCCUCUAAACCCUCCCAUGCAGAAUUGAUCAUCAUUUGAUCAACCCUAUUUCUUAUAAAUUCUGAGAGAGAAAGAGAAAGAGAAAGAGAAAGAGAAAGGGAGAGGGAUAAUGAAUCAUGAAUCAUGAAUAAUGGUGGAGAAGUAGGUAUAUUUUGGCGAGGAGAAAAGGGUAUAUGUAAAAGGUAGGCUGUUUUCCAAUGAUGUCAAAUAUAUUUCGAUGGCAGUACCACUCCUCACCACACAGCUACAAAACAGUUUGGGCCCUCCAAAUGUGCCCUUGUUUGCAUGGUAUCUUAAAUUUUUAUUGACUUUUAUUGCACUCAUCAAAUCAAUUAAUUACAGUGAAACUUAGAGCAUUAUUAAUUUCAGUAAGAUUCUUGGGGAAGUUAGCACAAGGGAAAUGAUAGUGCGCGCACACUUGUUUUACAAACGUUAUAAAUUUCUUUCACUGCUCAUGUCAUAUAUGUCUAAUUGUCUCUUCAUAUUCGGCAAAAUCAAUGAAUGAAAUAAAGUUUUUUAUUUUUUUUUUCUAGGCAAAUUACAGGGGAGAGGGAGAGUUGGAAGAAACAACAAAGAAAAGAAACACAAGAUAAGAGUUUAUAUUGCGUUAAAUCACUAUUUAAAUAUAUUAACAAAAAGUUAAACAAGUAAAAUUUAACAUGUAAAAUAUUUAAGCGAAAUAGGAUAAACGAUAGAGUUAGCGUUUAAACACAUGCAAGACCUUCAACUCUAAUAAAUAUCAAGUUGAUUUAUAAAUUAUCCCAAAAACUUAAUUAGUUAAUGCGAAAAAUUAAAUUUAAUCAUUUAAUUAAUACUUUAAUAAUACAAAAUCUUUUCAAAAGAUUUACUUAUUGAAUAUUUUAAAGUUGAUAUUUUUUUUGGAAAGGACUCGUUGGAGGUGAGCCGAAUCUAAAUAAAUGGUAAAAGCAUAUUACAUUCCUUUUUUUUCAUAUAUGCAAAAAGAAUAAUACUAUAAACUACACUAUUAUUACAAAAGUAAAUUGAAAGGUAAAUUGGUAUUACUAAAUUAACAAGAUGAUGAGAUAGUGGUAAAGUGUGGUUGAUAGACCGUACUAAAAUUUGAAGUUAGGAAAAACAAAAAGGGGGUAAGAGUAUUUUUAUCUGGUUCUUUAUUAUAGGAAUUUUUUUUAUUUUAAAUAGCUAAAAUUGAUUGUGAAUCAUUUUAUUGCUCUCAUUCGGCUCCUUAUUUUUCUUUUUCUUAAUAAAAUAUUAAUUUCUCUCUCUAAUUUUUUGUUUUAUCCAAUUUUCUUUAUUUUCUCCUUUCAUUUUUUAUUUUUUUUUCUUUGAUUGAGAUUGAACGGAAAAAAAUUGAUUGAAGUUAAUAUUAUAUUUAAAUGAAAAAAUCAAUUUGGAUUUUUAGCUUAGGGAGUCGAAUAUAAGUGUUUAGAAAAAGUAACUCUCUAAAGUAUAGAUAAAUA
rnacentral:precursor_RNA from 1 species